AUUGAACGCUGGCGGCAUGCCUUACACAUGCAAGUCGAACGGCAGCACGGGAGCAAUCCUGGUGGCGAGUGGCGAACGGGUGAGUAAAGUAUCGGAACGUGCCCAGUUGUGGGGGAUAACGUAGCGAAAGUUACGCUAAUACCGCAUACGAUCUAUGGGUGAAAGCGGGGGAUCGCAAGACCUCGCGCGAUUGGAGCGGCCGAUAUCAGAUUAGGCAGUUGGUGGGGUAAAGGCUCACCAAGCCGACGAUCUGUAGCUGGUCUGAGAGGACGACCAGCCACACUGGGACUGAGACACGGCCCAGACUCCUACGGGAGGCAGCAGUGGGGAAUUUUGGACAAUGGGCGCAAGCCUGAUCCAGCCAUGCCGCGUGCAGGAUGAAGGCCUUCGGGUUGUAAACUGCUUUUGUACGGAACGAAAAGGUUUGACUUAAUACGUUGGACUCAUGACGGUACCGUAAGAAUAAGCACCGGCUAACUACGUGCCAGCCGCCGCGGUAA
rnacentral:rRNA from 1 species